UGAUUCGAUUUCCUGCCUGGGGUUUUGGAGGAAGAACAUCAGAUGGUUCUGUGUCUCCUCAUGCUUUUUACAACAUUAUACGCCGACGAGGUUGUUGGAGUUUAUGCAAUGUUUCUCCAGCGGGAUCCACAAUUUGUACUUGUGGCACUGCUUAUCCUGCCUUAGGAGAUUUCUUGCUAUAUGGCUCUGGAGCUUGGGAUAAUCAAAGAUCAAACGUUUUGCUGAUUCAAGAGACUGCUCAAGGACGUUAGCCAAGCUUGUGGCCAAUUUGAUAACAACAACGUCUGGUGCAGACCGUGUCCUUGCUUGUCAUCUUCACUCCGAGACAUUCUAUGGACUACUUUGAUUAUGUUUAUGGCCAGUAAUUACCU